CGGGAAGCCGGCGGCGGCGGUGGCGGGAACAGCCAGGCUGAGGUGGCAGCAAGCCGGCCGAGACUGAGGCGAGGCCGAGCGGCCUGGAGCGCGCGGAGCCGGCCAGUGGCGGCCUCUCAGGCAGCCAAGGUGCAGUGUCUUCUGGGGCUCGGACAACGCCCGGGUGGUCGCGGGGAGUGCCCCGAAGCGUCCCCGCCCUGCUCGCAUCGCUCCCGCCUCUCGUGGCCCCUCAGUUCCCCAGCGCCCGCCCCCCGGCUCCGCCCGCCGCCGGCUCCUCCCGCCGCCGCCGCCGCCGUCGCCGCCGCAGCCCUUCGCGCUAAAGGUCGGUAGCGGCCCGCGCGCGCCGCCCGCCGGGGGCUCGCGCCAGCCACGAGGGAGCGUCCGCGGCUCGCGCGCCCGCGCCGUGGAGGAGAGGUUUUAAGUAUGAUGUUUCUGUAACACAUUUGGAUGUUUUCAGCUAAGCUCACUUCUGAACCAUGGGGUUCCUCCAAAUGUUGACUGAAAUUUGUCCUUGCGCAUCCCCAGGCUCAUCUGCAAAAUCUACAGUCCAUAAUGGAGCUACUGUACUGGCUAUUGGAAGAAGGAGAUUCUGAAGAUAGGGAGUUCAUCAAGAAGCCAAAGAUCUUAUGCCUGACUAAGUAUCUCCAUAUCUAACUUGAUUCAGCUAUCAGUCUGAAAUUUCCUGUGGUCUGUUCAGUCUAGAUGCAAAGGCCUGGAAAAAUCAAGUGCUCAAGUUGUUUAAAUAUGUUUUGGAUGUUCUUAUUUAUAGAUUACAGUAUUUUUCCACUUAAAAUCCACAGUUGUCUUGCAGAAGAAGGUUAUUCCCUUCUAGAUCACCCGUUUUAUUUGACAUGCUUAGUGUUGUAAUGUAUUACCAAAUGCUAUCUGUUUUAAUCAAAGUAUAGAAAAAAUAAAAUCAAUUUUAUAUGUUGA